rnacentral:rRNA from 1 species
GACGAACGCUGGCGGCGGGCUUAACACAUGCAAGUCGAACGGAAAGGCCCUGCUUUUGUGGGGUGCUCGAGUGGCGAACGGGUGAGUAACACGUUAGUAACCUGCCCUUGACUUUUGGAUAACUUCAGGAAACUGGGGCUAAUACCGGAUAGGAGCUCCUGCUGCAUGGUGGGGGUUGGAAAGUUUCGGCGGUUGGGGAUGUAGUCGCGGCUUAUCAGCUUGUUGGUGGGGUAGUGGCUUACCAAGGAUUUGACGGGUAGCCGGCCUGAGAGGGUGACCGGCCACAUAGGGACUGAGAUACGGCCAAGACUCCUACGGGAGGAAGCAGUGGGGAAUAUUGCACAAUGGGCGGAAGCCUGAUGCAGCAACGCCGCGUGCGGGAUGACGGCUUUCGGGUUGUAAACCGCUUUCGCCUGUGACGAAGCGUGAGUGACGGUAAUGGGUAAAGAAGCACCGGCUAACUACGU